GUGCUUGCUUUGGCAGCACGUUCACCAAAACUGGAACCGUACAAAGAUGAUUAGCAUGGGCCCUGAACAAGGA
ensembl:snRNA U6 U6 spliceosomal RNA